AUUGAACGCUGGCGGCAUGCCUUACACAUGCAAGUCGAACGGCAGCACGGGAGCAAUCCUGGUGGCGAGUGGCGAACGGGUGAGUAAUAUAUCGGAACGUGCCCAGUCGUGGGGAUAACGUAGCGAAAGCUACGCUAAUACCGCAUACGAUCUACGGAUGAAAGCGGGGGAUCGCAAGACCUCGCGCGAUUGGAGCGGCCGAUAUCAGAUUAGGUAGUUGGUGAGGUAAAGGCUCACCAAGCCGACGAUCUGUAGCUGGUCUGAGAGGACGACCAGCCACACUGGGACUGAGACACGGCCCAGACUCCUACGGGAGGCAGCAGUGGGGAAUUUUGGACAAUGGGCGCAAGCCUGAUCCAGCAAUGCCGCGUGCAGGAUGAAGGCCUUCGGGUUGG
rnacentral:rRNA from 1 species